ACUACCAACAAGAUUAUCAGUAUUGAUAUUAUUGUUUUUGACGGUCAGUCUCAUUCUGCUGAAGCUAGACAUUCGCUCGAAAGCCUUACUAACCAAAGGAUUCUCGGAAGCUGAUGCAGGAUUAGUAGGUAUUGACUCCACAAAUGUCCACAAAGCAGAGGAGAACCAACCAGUAGUACCAUCAUCCUCUCCACCACUUUGAUUUUCAUUAGCUCCGGUAGGAUUAUUGGAAGAUUCAUAUGUGACACCUGGAGUUGGUUGAGAAAGAGUCCCAUGAAUUGUUUCUCUAGUAUGGACAUCGCUUCUCUGAUCAUCCACCCAUAGCUGAGCUGCACCAAAUGCUAGUGGCUGCAAGUAAUCCACAUUAUUUACUG
rnacentral:misc_RNA from 1 species